UUAAUCAAUUAAACAGAAAUAAUUUAUAUUGUACUUUAUUUCCAGCUUAUCUGCUGCGUAUAUAUCCACUGCAUACUUUGAUUGUGUAAGAAUAGUUUUAUGCCGUAGAAACAAUAUGGCUUUUGCCCAGUGAACAAAAGGUUCUUUUUAAUUAGUGGAGAAGAAAAUUUAUACAUUCAACAUUCAAAUACCUGCAAUUGAAGAAAGCCUUGGAAACUGGAAUUUGUUGAUAAAAAAUCUAUAUAAGUAAAACAACCAAACUAAUUGCAGCAAUUUUAUCUUUUUGAAUAAUUCAUAGCGAUGGAAAAUGCAAGCAAAUAAUAUGAACAACAAUCAACCUAGUAACAUUAAUAAAUCAAAUAUUUCAACAAUUUGUUUGAGAAAAAACCCAAAGGAAGCAGUUGAAAUUUCUUGUCUCAAUGACAGAACCAAAUUAUGGACCUACAUACAAGAUUGGAAGGUACAAAGAAAACCUUCAAAAUCAUGGAAAAAAAAACAAAUUUAAACAGAAUACCCAUUUGCAAAUCCUAAAUCAGAAAAAAAAAAAAAAUAUAUAUAUAUAUAUAUAUAUAUAUAUAUAUAUUUGAAAAAGAAAAAAAAGCAUAUCGAGAGAGAUGUGAUACUGAACUUAAAUGACAAAAAUAGAAUAAACUGACAAUAUUUAACUGGGUUUUAUCAGAAAAUAUGCUAAAGAUGUCAUAUUGAUGAUAGAAUUAAUGAAAAUUUCAAUUGACAUUAUCUACAGAUUUACACUUUCAUUAAUCGAUAAAAUUCCAACAUAUGAUUUCACUUGGAAAAAAUGAGGAAAAAAACUUGAUAUAUAAUUAUAGGUUAAGCUAAUCUUUCAAACUGACCGAAUUCCCUGCUUUCAAGAUUUCUUAACUGUGCUUUAAAGUAAAUGCAUUUAAGUGCAAAUGCAUGUUAACGUACUUCUAAGUAAUAUAAAAAAAAAUGGAAAAAGCUGAUAUAUAAUAAAAACAAAGUUGGAUAGGAAAAAUUAGGGACAAAAAAAAUACCAGGAGAAAGAGCAUAGGAGAUACUGACCCAAAAACUUAAUUUCAAGUGACUAAGAACCCAAAUCAAAUCUUUCAAAAGCAGAUCAAGCUUUGAAUUUAACAUAGCCAAUGUAAAUUCAAUUUUCAAAUCACAAUGUACUUAUGCAAAUUAUUACCUAGUUCUACCCUAAUUGCAUCUUAGUUACUAAUAAUUAUAACUACUAUUAAGUAUUUUGAGGAAUCGAAGUAGUAGAUAAAGGAGACCAUAUAUUUAGCUACCUAGCUAGUAAGUUCCCUGAAACAAUUACAAGUGUAAUUAAGGUGUACUAUCUAGAUUUAGAUAUAUAUGAAAUGAAUCAAUCAAAACUAGAAAGAAAUAUGAUCUAAUUGAUAAUUAAUUACCUAGAAAGAAAUAUGAUUAUCCUUGGGAUUAAUCUCAGCUUUCUCGGGCAUGUUUUUCGGAUCCUCAGAUGGCAAAAGAUGUAUUCCAAUACCUAUAGCGUACCCAAAUAACCUACAACGUAUAAGGCAUAUUCAUCAUAACCAGAUACAGUUGUUAAUUUGUUGGGGAAAACAUCCCACCAAUGCAUUCUUAUACAAAACAUUUAUUUAAAUACUGAUUUCAUGCAAUCCAGUAGCUAAAUACUUAACUCAAAAAAUAAAAACUCAAACUUUUGCAAUUAGACAAGGCUGGAAACAAUCUACUAUUAAAAUGGUUUACAUUAUAAAGUUUUAUUGUUUGUAUAACAUGAACAAACCAGUAUCAAAUCACUUACCCCAACAAAAAAAAUCACAGAGAACAAACCUGCAUCCACAUGCAGCCAAAGCAAGAAAAAAAAUAUAUAAAUCAACGGUUCGCCAACUAGAAAAGAUGAUGUAUUUAAGGUUGGAAAAAAAAGCAAGCUUAACAUGCAUUGACAUGCAGCAAAACAAUUUUUUUUUUUUUACAAAUAUUGACCUUUCAUUGAUAUUGCAACGAAAAUGGCAAGGCGGGCAGAUUCAACCCAGAGAUCAGGCGCCACUUUCUCCAGAAAUCAAAAUAAUCAGUCAAUUCCCAAAACGAACUGCAACUGAAAAAAUACCUGCCCCAAAUGGACCUGGGACCUAAGAAUAUUCAAGAAGUUCUUAUAACUAACUAUAACUUUACAUGUUAGCAUUGAUUUUUAAGCCUAGACCAAAGGUUUCUGCAUAAAAACAAAGUCUGUGUUAUUUCGCUAAAUACUAUAUCAUCAUAAGGUUUCAGGUAAAAUGAAUUACCAAUGAAAUGAACUAACCUCUAAGUUUCUCUUACGGACAACGCUUAGUAAAGUGAAUGCAUGUUCUUCUCUCUAAAAGAAAAGGUUGGGUCACAUGUUUUAAGAUAAAACCUUAAAAAAAACACACCCAAAAUCUGUAAACUAUUGAAUAAAUUUCAAAUCUUAGUUGUUCUGUUGAAGGGAAAAAAGGUAAGAACUUUAUCUGAGAAAUUGGAAGCCAAACUAUGAUCAGAGCAAGGCAGAUAGUGGUGCAAAUACUUUGGGAGUACAAAAUUAGAACGGAAAGGAUUGCAGAAAUGUAUACAAUAUAUGUAAGAAUUUACAUAAACAUAAAUAUAUGAUUUCAAUUGUAUUUGAUAAAUGGAUAAAGUUUUAGAUAUGUAUUGACAAAAUUAAGAACUUGACUAUAAAUUCUGUAGCAGAUUAUAUUAAAAUCACUAAGUAGAAGAUUAGACUCUAAAUGCUAAAAUAAUAUGAGACACUAAACAUGCCAAAUUUUGGAAUAGAAACUAUUGGCAUCUUUUGUAACUAUGGCCAAUAAGAUCACUACGUAGAAUAUUACAUUAAGAUCAAAAUAUACAUGGUAUAUAGAAAGAAAAAAAGUUAAUAUGCUACUUUCUCGGGAAACAAACAGACCUUCAUUGAAAUCCACAAGUCACAAAAAAAAAAAAAAAAAAACAAGCACAACUUGCAAACAAAAUCAAGCAAGAUGGAUCCAGAUCCAAAACACGAUUAACACCCACAAAUCCAUCACCAAAACAAAUAAUUUCCCUAACAAAAUUAAUCAAAUUAACAACUUUUGAACAUGAUAUAUAGAUAUACAAUGACAUGUAUAAACAUAUGAGAGAUAUAGAGAGAGAAAGAGAGAGGUAGAGGUAGAGAGAGACCUGAUGGUGUUGAUGAACACUGGAGAGUGAGAAAAGCAGAGGACAACUAAAGGUUGCUAAAAGAGAUUAAAUUUGUGAUCAAAGUAACAAACUACAGUAAAAAAUUAAUAUUUGGCUUCUGGGUAUUUGAGAAGAAGUGAGAUUUAGGGCGUGUUUGGCAUGCCGGAUAACACACCGGAUAGUACUAUUU
rnacentral:lncRNA from 1 species